rnacentral:rRNA from 1 species
UACGAAGGGGGCUAGCGUUGCUCGGAAUCACUGGGCGUAAAGGGUGCGUAGGCGGGUCUUUAAGUCAGGGGUGAAAUCCUGGGGCUCAACUCCAGAACUGCCUUUGAUACUGAGGAUCUUGAGUUCGGGAGAGGUGAGUGGAACUGCGAGUGUAGAGGUGAAAUUCGUAGAUAUUCGCAAGAACACCAGUGGCGAAGGCGGCUCACUGGCCCGAUACUGACGCUGAGGCACGAAAGCGUGGGUAGCAAACAGG